UUUAGCAGCAUAUAUGCCUUGAGUCUGCCAUGAAUUGGGUUCUGGAUUUUCAGAGUUCCAUUGUUGCUCCUUCCAGUUUUGCUGAGGCCUUGUCGUUCCUCUGUGACAUCCUCCCUUCAGAAUGGCUUCUGGAUUCCCAAAAAAGACACCAACACCUCGUCUUUUGCUGAGGGAAAGACUGCAGCCUAACACUCUGCUUCCCUCUAAGUUCCAGCAGGAGAAGUUUGUCAGCACGCAGAAGGAGGCCAGCACUGGGGGGAGUAUUCUGCCCAGAAUUGGCCCAUGGAUAGACCUGGGCAAGACUAGUCCAAAGCUGCCGUCAGCUGCCCCGAAACAGAGCUUGUUUCAGGUUUCCCCACCAGAGAUGGUGUUUGAGAACUUCGUGGCUCGGGAGGUCUCUGAAAUGGUGCUGUCUGUGACAAAUAAG